CGUAACUGACGCUGAGGGACGAAAGCUAGGGGAGCGAAAGGGAUUAGAUACCCCUGUAGUCCUAGCUGUAAACGAUGGAUACUAGGUGUUGGAUGUAUCGACCCAUUCAGUACCGUAGCCAACGCGAUAAGUAUCCCGCCUGGGGAGUACGCACGCAAGUGUGAAACUCAAAGGAAUUGACGGGGGCCCGCACAAGCGGUGGAGUAUGUGGUUUAAUUCGAUGCAACGCGAAGAACCUUACCAGGGCUUGACAUCCCGCGAACCUUGAUGAAAGUUGAGGGUGCCUUCGGGAGCGCGGAGACAGGUGGUGCAUGGCUGUCGUCAGCUCGUGUCGUGAGAUGUUGGGUUAAGUCCCGCAACGAGCGCAACCCACGUCCUUAGUUGCCAUCAUUGAGUUGGGCACUCUGGGGAGACUGCCGGGGACAACUCGGAGGAAGGUGUGGAUGACGUCAAGUCAUCAUGCCCCUUACGUUCUGGGCUACACACGUACUACAAUGCUUCGGACAAAGGGCAGCGAACCUGCGAGGGUGAGCUAAUCUCAUAAACCGGGGCACAGUUCAGAUUGCAGGCUGCAACUCGCCUGCAUGAAGGAGGAAUCGCUAGUAAUCGCCGGUCAGCAUACGGCGGUGAAUACGUUCCCGGGCCUUGCACACACCGCCCGUC
rnacentral:rRNA from 1 species